AUUUCCUCGCUUCAAAGAUGUCAAAGGCCUGAUUGAGCAAGACUUCAUCCUGCAGUUUGGAGAAGGUGUAACUGCAAAAUUUAUGGAAAGAUGGUCCACGACAUUCAAGCAAGAGAUCAUUCAGCAGUGUAAGGCUCUCCCUUCACCAAGUGACCUUGAAGAGCUUAUCCACUGUGCUGAAGCUACAUUGGAUGAGAACGAAAUUGAUGACACUCUUGCCCUUGGUAGUGUGGUUUAUUUUAUUUUAUCUUAUU